rnacentral:rRNA from 1 species
CUGGCUCAGGACGAACGCUGGCGGCGUGCCUAACACAUGCAAGUCGAACGGAGUUGAGGAGCUUGCUCCUUAACUUAGUGGCGGACGGGUGAGUAACGCGUGAGUAACCUGCCUCUGAGAGGGGAAUAACGUUCUGAAAAGAACGCUAAUACCGCAUGACACAUAUUUGCCGCAUGACAGAUAUGUCAAAGAUUUUAUCGCUCAGAGAUGGACUCGCGUCCGAUUAGUUAGUUGGUGAGGUAACGGCUCACCAAGACCGCGAUCGGUAGCCGGACUGAGAGGUUGAACGGCCACAUUGGGACUGAGACACGGCCCAGA